CUGUUUGUAGCUCAGUAAUAGAGCUUCUGACUUGCAUGCAGAAGAAUCCAGGUUCAAUCCUGGCUGUCUACAGGCAGG